UAAUACGUAGGGUGCUAGCGUUGUUCGGAAUCAUUGGGCGUAAAGCGCGUGUAGGUGGUUAAGUAAGUCGAAUGUGAAAUCCCUCGGCUCAACCGAGGAAGUGCAUCCGAAACUACUUAGCUAGAGGACGGUAGAGGAAGGUGGAAUUCCUAGUGUAGAGGUGAAAUUCGUAGAUAUUAGGAGGAAUACCGGUGGCGAAGGCGGCCUUCUGGGCCGUUCCUGACACUGAGACGCGAAAGCGUGGGGAGCAAACAGGAUUAGAUACCCUGGUAGUCCACGCCGUAAACGAUGGGUACUAGGUGUUGCAGGAAUUGACCCCUGCAGUGCCGCAGCUAACGCAUUAAGUACCCCGCCUGGGAAGUACGGUCGCAAGAUUA
rnacentral:rRNA from 1 species